AUGGCGGUGGGCCGUGCUCUGGAGGCGCAACUCUGCGUCCCGCCGCACCAUCUGCGGGUGACGGUGCACAAUCCGGAGGACUUCUUCGUCAUCUUCACGCAGCCGGCCCACCACGACAACGCAGUCCGCCGCGGCUCCCUGCGUGUCGACGACGCCAACUUCACCAUCACGCCAUGGGGGGAGAACGACCACACUGGCCAUGGCACCUUCAACCUCCACGUGCGCUGCAUCAUCGAGCACCUACCCCAGCAGUACUGGACGCUGGAGGGCGUCCAAGAGGUCUUCGGCGACAAGGUGCUCGUGGAUCGGCUCGACAGCCGCACCCUGGAGCGUGACCACACCAAGACGUUCGCGUGCUGUGUGUGGGUUUGGGACAUGUCGUUCAUCCCGACCCGGCACACGUACUAGAAGCUGCCCCAGGGUGCCGGUCGGGUGGAGGAGAUGGACGGCUUCUCGCCGCCGGACCGCCGCGUCGCUCUCCCGCUCGGCGCGGAGCGCUACGACUUGCUCAUCCACGUCGACCGAGUUGAGGACUGG
rnacentral:rRNA from 1 species